AAGGAGUAUGGAGUGACAGAAUCUUGGGAUAAAAUAUUUUGCGUUUCACACAGAACUAUUUAGGUAAGGAACUUCAUCUGGAUAUUCGCAAGAUUAAAUGGUGUGCUUAAUGCUGGCUAAUUCUGUGUUCGGGCAAUGCAUCUAGCUCCUUGAGCUGUCAUAGUGUGAAGAGGUUCGAGAACAAGACUGCAAAUGGGGCUGUUGUUGUGGAAUUGACGGUUGAGGUAGGGGUAGGGGUUUUCCUUCCCUUUUGAUUUGAAACUUGGUACUUGUGAGCUUACACAGAUCCAAAACUCUG